UUCUCGCGUUAGGGAUUGCAGCGGCAUCCUUUUUUAACGGCUGGGCCGGUUAAAAAAGAUACAGCGGAAAGCGCGACCCGCU
rnacentral:sRNA from 2 species